GCGCUUGCUUCUGCAGCACACAUACUAAGAUCGGAACAAUGUGGAGAUUAGCAUGGCCCCUGUGCAAGGAUGACACACGAAUUUGUGAAGCAUUCCAGAUUUUU